CCCUUAGAUGUUCUGGGCCGCACGCGCGCUACACUGAUGCAUUCAACGAGUCUAAAACCUGCUCUGAUAGGGGUGGGUAAUCUUUUGAAUGUGCAUCGUGAUUGGGAUAGAUGAUUGCAAUUUUUCAUCUUCAACGAGGAAUGCCUAGUAAACGCAAGUCAUCAGCUUGCAUUGAUUACGUCCCUGCCCUUUGUACACACCGCCCGUCGCUCCUACCGAUUGAAUGAUCCGAUGAAUAUCAUAGACUGAGAGUAUAAGCAGGUUCGCCUGUCUUUGCUUCUCGGGAAGGGAAGUAAAUCUUAUCAUUUAGAGGAAGGAGAAGUCGUAACA
rnacentral:rRNA from 1 species